rnacentral:rRNA from 1 species
GCGAAAACUUUACAAUGCUGGCAACAGCGAUAAGGGAACCUCGAGUGCCAGGUUACAAAUCUGGCUGUCGAGAUGCUUAAAAAGCAUUUCAUAGCAAGGGCCGGGCAAGACCUGUGCCAGCCGCCGCGGUAACACCGGCGGCUCGAGUGGUAACCGUUAUUAUUGGGUCUAAAGGGUCUGUAGCCGGCCGGAUAAGUCUCUUGAGAAAUCUGACAGCUUAACUGUCAGGCUUUCAGGAGAUACUGUCUGGCUCGAGGCCGGGAGAGGUGAGAGGUACUUCAGGGGUAGGGGUGAAAUCUUGUAAUCCUUGAAGGACCACCAGUGGCGAAGGCGUCUCACCAGAACGGACCUGACGGCAAGGGACGAAAGCUAGGGGCACGAACC